ACUUAGCAUGAGUUUUAGUGUCCAACUUUAAUCGAUCGUUUUAAUUACUUUUUUAAAAAAAAAACUUAAGUCACGCAUAAAGUAUUAUUCAUAUUUUAUAAUCUAAUAACAAUAAAAAUAUUAACCAAAAAAAUUCAAAUAAGGUGGACAAUCAAAGUUGGACACAGAAACUCAUGGCUGCGCUUAUU
rfam:Oryza sativa (indica cultivar-group) chromosome 1, whole genome shotgun sequence.